AGAACGAACGCUGGCGGCAUGCCUAAUACAUGCAAGUCGAACGAACUCUUCGGAGUUAGUGGCGCACGGGUGCGUAACGCGUGGGAAUCUGCCCUUGGGUUCGGAAUAACAGUUGGAAACGACUGCUAAUACCGGAUGAUGACGAAAGUCCAAAGAUUUAUCGCCCAGGGAUGAGCCCGCGUAGGAUUAGCUAGUUGGUGAGGUAAAGGCUCACCAAGGCGACGAUCCUUAGCUGGUCUGAGAGGAUGAUCAGCCACACUGGGACUGAGACACGGCCCAGACUCCUACGGGAGCAGCAGUAGGGAAUAUGG
rnacentral:rRNA from 1 species